rnacentral:rRNA from 1 species
GAACGCUGGCGGCGUGCCUAACACAUGCAAGUCGAACGGAGAGGACAUGAAGUAUUUCGGUACGGAAUGCUCUCUUAGUGGCGAACGGGUGAGUAACACGUGGGCAACCUGCCCCAGACUGGGGGAUAACAUUGUGAAAACAGUGCUAAUACCGCAUGACAGGGUUCCGGGCAUCCGGGACCCUUGAAAGGAGAAAUCCGGUCAGGGGUGGGCCCGCGUCCAAUUAGCUAGUUGGCGGGGUAACGGCCCACCAAGGCGACGAUUGGUAGCCGAACUGAGAGGUUGAUCGGCCACAUUGGGACUGAGACACGGCCCAGACUCCUACGGGAGGCAGCAGUGGGGAAUAUUGGGCAAUGGGCGAAAGCCUGACCCAGCGACGCCGCGUGAAGGAUGAAGGUCUUCGGAUUGUAAACUUCUUUGAUCAGGGAAGAAAGAAAUGACGGUACCUGAAAAACAAGCCACGGCUAACUACGUG